GACGAACGCUGGCGGCGUGCUUAACACAUGCAAGUCGAACGAAGAGCGAUGGAAGCUUGCUUCUCUCAAUCUUAGUGGCGAACGGGUGAGUAACGCGUAAUCAACCUGCCCUUCAGAGGGGGACAACAGUUGGAAACGACUGCUAAUACCGCAUACGAUCUAAUCUCGGCAUCGAGGAUAGAUGAAAGGUGGCCUCUACAUGUAAGCUAUCACUGAAGGAGGGGAUUGCGUCUGAUUAGCUAGUUGGAGGGGUAACGGCCCACCAAGGCGAUGAUCAGUAGCCGGUCUGAGAGGAUGGACGGCCACAUUGGGACUGAGACACGGCCCAGACUCCUACGGGAGGCAGCAGUGGGGAAUCUUCCGCAAUGGACGAAAGUCUGACGGAGCAACGCCGCGUGAGCGAUGACGGCCUUCGGGUUGUAAAGCUCUGUUAAUCGGGACGAAAGGCCUUCUUGCGAAUAGUGAGAAGGAUUGACGGUACCGGAAUAGAAAGCCACGGCUAACUACGUG
rnacentral:rRNA from 1 species